GCCUUCGUAGUGUAGUGGUCAGCACCCUGGUUCCGUAUGCCGGAGGUCCGUGGUUCGAGUCCCGGUGAAGGCG
rnacentral:tRNA from 1 species